rnacentral:snRNA from 1 species
GUGCUCGCUUCGGCAGCACAUGUACUAAAAUUGGAACGAUACAGGGAAGAUUAGCAUGGCCCAUGCGCAAGGAUGACAUGCAGGUUCGUGAAGCAUUCCAUAUAUAA